GACGAACGCUGGCGGCGUGCCUAAUACAUGCAAGUUGAGCGAUGAAGAUUGGUGCUUGCACCAAUUUGAAGAGCAGCGAACGGGUGAGUAACGCGUGGGGAAUCUGCCUUUGAGCGGGGGACAACAUUUGGAAACGAAUGCUAAUACCGCAUAAUAACUUUAAACAUAAGUUUUAAGUUUGAAAGAUGCAAUUGCAUCACUCAAAGAUGAUCCCGCGUUGUAUUAGCUAGUUGGUGAGGUAAAGGCUCACCAAGGCGAUGAUACAUAGCCGACCUGAGAGGGUGGUCGGCCAAAUUGGGACUGAGACACGGCCCAAACUCCUACGGGAGGCAGCAGGAGGGAAUCUUCGGCAAUGGACGAAAGUCUGACCGAGCAACGCCGCGUGAGGGAAGGAGGUUUUCGGGUCGUAAAACUCUGUUGGUAGAGAAGAACGUUAGUGAGAGUGGAAAGCUCAUAAAGUGACGGUAACUACCCAGAAAGGGACGGCUAACUACGUG
rnacentral:rRNA from 1 species